UACGGGGGGGGCAAGCGUUGUUCGGAAUUACUGGGCGUAAAGGGCUCGUAGGCGGCCCACUAAGUCAGACGUGAAAUCCCUCGGCUUAACCGGGGAACUGCGUCUGAUACUGGAGGGCUUGAGUUUGGGAGAGGGAUGCGGAAUUCCAGGUGUAGCGGUGAGAUGCGUAGAUAUCUGGAGGAACACCGGUGGCGAAGGCGGCAUCCUGGACCAACACUGACGCUGAGGAGCGAAAGCCAGGGGAGCAAACGGG
rnacentral:rRNA from 1 species